rnacentral:rRNA from 1 species
UGGGGAAUCUUGGACAAUGGGCGAAAGCCUGAUCCAGCCAUGCCGCGUGUGUGAAGAAGGUCUUCGGAUUGUAAAGCACUUUAAGUUGGGAGGAAGGGCAGUAAGCGAAUACCUUGCUGUUUUGACGUUACCGACAGAAUAAGCACCGGCUAACUCUGUGCCAGCAGCCGCGGUAAUACAGAGGGUGCAAGCGUUAAUCGGAAUUACUGGGCGUAAAGCGCGCGUAGGUGGUUCGUUAAGUUGAAUGUGAAAGCCCCGGGCUCAACCUGGGAACGGCAUCCAAAACUGGCGAGCUAGAGUAGGGCAGAGGGUGGUGGAAUUUCCUGUGUAGCGGUGAAAUGCGUAGAUAUAGGAAGGAACACCAGUGGCGAAGGCGACCACCUGGGAUCAUACUGACACUGAGGUGCGAAAGCGUGGGGAGCAAACAGG